AAGAGAGCAGCAGGGGAUGUAAUCACAGCAGCAGCAGGAGGAGGGGGUUGGUCUUAGUGUGAUGUGAAUGGAAUCAGGAGUGAGAGAAAGAGAGAUACAGAGAGAGAGAGAGAGAGAGAGAGAGAGAGAGAGAGAGAGAGAGAGAGAGUACAAAUCAACCUGCCUCAGUCUGAACAACGGGGACACAAUAAGCCAGGGAGAAGGCUCUGAGCAGGCAGGCAGGAUUUUCUUGUUCUAGAGACAAUCACACUCAAAAAGGAGAAAAGAAGACAAGACAGCAACAUAGAGAGAGGUAGAGAGAGAAGGAGAGUAGAUAGCAGAAAAAUGCUGUCAUGGAAGAAAGAGGGGAGACAACAGAGAACAGCAGGAUGGAAUAAGGACAGGGCAAGCAGACAUGCAGAGGUAAGACCAUUUUUAUUAAACACACACACACACACACACACACACACACACACAGUUUGUAAGCUGAUCUGGGACGAGACGCUUUGCUCAUUUUUGCUGAGACCCCAAUUACUUCCCCUGCCCUGUGUGUGUGUGUGUGUGUGCGUGCAUGAUUGUGAAGCAGAAAUAGAAAAUAAGCUACGAGAAUCGAAAAGAGGAUGUGUGAAACACAGUGAGGGGAAAUGCUUAGGAGGAAAUGAUGUCGAGGGCUCAGUGCUCGCUUUCGCACUGGCUGCUGUUGUCUCAGAGAGAGAGAGAGAGAGAGAGACAUACACACACACACACACACACAUAUACACACACACUCACACACCGACACACAGCACUUUUAUGACAUUGACACGGAGCCACUGCAGACCUUGCCGUGAGGACUGCAAAGCUGCAGGACCUGAGGACGUGGAGCAGGUGAAGACAGAGAGAGGGAGAGAGAAAGAGAGAGAGAGAGAAUGAUAGAAACAGAAGCAGUCCCACAAAGCGCUGAGGAAGCGUGGUGAAGUCAACCAGCCGGCUAUUUUACACCGUGACAAAGCUGCUAAAAUCAAACCAUAGCAAAUCUUUUUACUCUGUGUUGCAAAGUUAAACAGGUGAGUUAAUGUUUUGCUUCCUGAGACCUACGUGAGUGUGUUUACAGCAAUUGUUCAAACAGAGAAGUCUGACCUUUUGAGCUGACAAGCAAAUUAUGAUUUGAGAGAUUCUAGAUGCAGCGAAUACAAUGAAGGAGUUCAAAAAUACAGUACUUGUUCUCUUGAUUCGAGCUCGUUAUUUCUGCUUGUGCGCUCUUGGACUGGAGGAGGAAGGUCAGGGAAGACUUUUCUUGAAAAACCUAUUGUACUUGCAAAGCUAUAAUCUUACAUAGAAUACAUAGGAGAGCAGCUAAAAUAGCCUGAUAGUGCUGAAGAAAAAGACUUGCUGUAGGCUACAGGAGUCCAUUUAAUGGUGUAUAGUUGGCUACAGACAGGAACAUUUUAACACUGGGCUUGCAAGAAAUGCAUGCUUUUAGAACAGCAUUCUUGUUAACCAGUCAUCACUGUGUGUUCCCACUUCUGAACCAAACGAAAAUUCCCUUGAG
ensembl:lncRNA